rnacentral:piRNA from 1 species
UUGAAUGAUCCGAGUCUCUUUCAUUC